CUCCGUCCCAUCCUUCCUUCCUUCCUUCCUUCCUAGAGUAGUGUGAGAGUUUUAAAGUAUGUCCACAAAUUUGUUGAUACUACUCCCUCCAACAGGUGAAGCCUAAGUCUCCUCCCCUUGAAUGUGAGCUGAACUUAAUGACUUGAUUAUAAUGAAGAGAAUGUGACAGAAGCAGUGGUGUGUGAUGGUGCAGAUCAUGAAAAGUAUUUGACUUUCUCCUUGCUCUCUCUGAAGCACUCACUCUGUGGGGGAGGCCAGCUUUCAUGUCAUGAGGACACUCAAGUAGCCCUCUGGAGAGGCUCUCAUGGUGAGGAACUAAGGCGUUCUACCAAUAACCAUGCAGUGUGCCAUCUUGGAAGCAGAUCUUCCAGCACCAGUCCAACCUUCAGAUGACUGCAGCCCAGGCCAACAUCUUGACUGCAACUUCAAGAAAGACCCCAAGCCAUAACCACUCAGCUAAGCCAUUUCCAAUUCCUGAUUCUCAAAACCUGUAUGAGAUAAUAAAAUUGUUUGUUGUUGUUUUAAC
rnacentral:lncRNA from 1 species